rnacentral:lncRNA from 1 species
CGAUCUCCUGACCUCGUGAUCCGCCUGCCUCGGCCUUCCAGAGUGCUGGGAUUACAGGCUUCAGCCACCGUGCCCAGCCUCACCCAGAUGGAGUCUCAAUCUGUCACCCAGGCUAGAGCACAGUGGCGCAAUCUUGGCUCACCGCAACCUCUGUCUCCAGGAUUCAGAUGAAAAACCCAAGGUCCAGAAAGGGGACGCAAUGGCCAUAGCAGCAGCAGAGCAGGGACUGAAUCCCAAGGCUGAUGACUUUGACUUCGGUGCUCCAGCAUUCGUCUUCCCUGGAUUUCUCAGCUCGCAGGCUCGAUAACUCUCUUCUCUCCCCAGACUUGUUGGCAGGCAAGAGGAAUAACUCAUGUGAGUCAAAAGCAAUUUGCAAACAUAAAUAAUUUUCGAUGCCAGGAGAGGAGACGGUGGGAAGAUGCAUGGAAGGUUGAGAGGAACACAGUCAGCCCCAAGUCUCCCUCACCCUGCUGGGCACUUCCUCUUCCCACCUCGGCGCUGGUGGGAGAGUCGGAGUGCGCCAUAAACAAGGCAGGAAACGGCUAUCAUGAUGCUCACUUCCGCUCUUCCUAGAAGGGAUUCUGCUCGCCAAUCUCUCCACUCCCCACCCCCUGCCAUGCACAGGAUUUUGUACUCCCAGCUCCUCUGGAGGCUCAGAGGAGGAGAUGGUCCUGCUGCACUGGCCCAGCCUUCCUCUACCUGGCUUGUCUUUUUCCUUGUCCUCAACCCCAAACAGCAAGUGUCCUAACAAAGAAUGGAUAGCACACUAUUAUUUUUGUGACAUUCAUCUCAGUGUCAUAUUCCAAAGGAGCUUGACAUAAUUGUCCUGUUCCUAAUGUGGACACUGGUUUACGAAAGUGUGGUGACCACUGGAGACUGUUCUCUGACAGUGUAACAGGUAUUCGCCUUUCCCCAGGGUACCAAGACUCACGUGGCCCUGACAGCCAGCACAGUCUCUUAGGAGGUUCCGGAGGGUGGCAGUGGGAAUGAGCGUAGAGCUGUGUCAUUUCGGAGGGCUGAGUGCGUUCCACACAUCUUCCCAAAGCCCACCCCAAGAGGCUGUCUAAUGCAGGGGGAAACAAUGAGAAACCAGAUACCAUGGAAUUAGCAAAGAAUUUCUCAGAUGAAACAGGAAAGGGAGGAAAUCCAGAGGGGUUUACAUUACACCUGGCUCAGGUUGAAAGGAUUCAGGGCCAGUUGUUGGCAAUAUUAAACUCCAGGCUGUGUUUGAAAGGGUCCUUCACUCGGGCAGCCAAAGAGAGGCGUUCCUGCCAGGAUAGGUUGCAUCGCUGCAGAUCUCCAGCCCUACGUGCAUACACACGUGUACACACACGUGCACACACAUGCAUGCACACACAGACGUGCACACGCACACACAUGCAUGCACACAUGCACACAUGCGCACACGUGCGCGCACACGCAUGCACACACACACAUGCAUGCACACACGUGCAUCUUGGAUAUCUCUUGUUAAUGUCAGCCCUCUGCCCCAAACUAGAUUUGAAAACUUGUAGGUAAUCAAGUUUUCUGGUUAAGAGAAAUAAUCCCAGCCAACAGUUAGUAAGCUCUUAUGUGUCAGGCCUUAUCCAAACAGUUCACAUGAAGACCAGAUCCAAAAAUAAAAGUGUGCUUUGUCCUCUGUG